UGGUUAAAGGAGACUACAUGCACUCAAUACAGAGGGGGGAUCAUACAUGUUGCCUCAACAUUGACUUCAUGGUGGUCAUUUGAAUAAGAAAAUGCAGUUUUAUUUCAUAUUUUCAGUACAGAUGACAUAAGACACUGUGACAUACUAUACAGAAAGUGGUACUGGUGGCUAGAAUUUUGGAUGAGAGUGAAAACAACACAUUUGUUACUUUGGUCUCCAUACAGACAUUACCGGUUAUGAUUCCAUGAAAAUUUUAUGACAAGACUGCAGGAAACCUGUUUACUGACAGUGCCAGAGUGGUUAUUGUUGAAGAAUAGUAAAGUACAGAUGACAUAAGACACUGUGACAUACUAUACAGAAAGUGGUACUGGUGGCUAGAAUUUUGGAUGAGAGUGAAAACAACACAUUUGUUACUUUGGUCUCCAUACAGACAUUACCGGUUAUGAUUCCAUGAAAAUUUUAUGACAAGACUGCAGGAAACCUGUUUACUGACAGUGCCAGAGUGGUUAUUGUUGAAGAAUAGUAAAGGUAGGACACUGAAAUACAUUCUUUCAGACAGGCAUAACUUAAAAUUUGCUCCUACAAUCUUCUGCAUUAUAUAUGGAAACUUUUUCUCUUUUCAUUGAAGCAAUAACAGUCUGCGGGAUGUAUUUUUGUCUGUUUUAUUUGUCCUUUUUUUGUGACUAGUGAUAAUGUUUAAUUAAUUUCAGAUGUUUUUCACUGAUUCAGUGGCUCAAAAGUUGAAUUGAAAGCAGGGGUUACAUUGAAAUUUUAAUGUAAGGAUAUCUUUAAGCUUCCUGCUCAAAAGAAUAUGUCAAAAAAGUGCUUGAAGAAGCACAAGAAGUUUGUGAUAUAUUCUCAAGAGAAAAAGACACUGCCCCCGGAAUCACUAAUCCUGUAAAAGGUGUUGUUUGUGUGUUUCAAUUGGAAUUCAUAUUGCAAAAUAUAGCUACAGUGAAACACCGCUCGCUCGAGCAUCGAUAACUCGAGCACCCGGGCUCGCUCGAGCAAUUCAUGAGGUCCCGGCCAAUUUCCUUCUAUUUUCUAUGUGGAAUUACCAUGGCUUGGUCGAGCAUCGAUAACUCGAUCGCUCGAGCAUGACAUCUGGUCCCUUUGUAUUAAUUUACUCUAUGUUGCUUAUGGCAAACUCGAGCAGAGAUGUCAAAAUUUUUCACACCUUCGGCGGUCAGAAUGUAUCGGUUAAUCUAAAAUUUUCGCACGUCGUGAGAAUUGCAUGGUCUAUUCCCCGAUUAUCUUAAGUUUUUGUUUGCCGGUAUAUUUGAUCUAAUAAUGAGAUUAAUUGUUGAUGAAAGGUGGAAGAAAAAUUUUAUUGAUCAAAAUUGUUAUUAAUUAUUACUUUUUUCUGCGGGAUCGAGAAGAUAAUUAUGAGAUCUUAAUAUUUUAAUCAACAGUUGAUUGCAUUGCAAAUAAAGGAAAUAAGAUAGCCUUUUCAUAAAUAUGAGACGAUAAUUAGUAGAUCUAAAUUUGGAGAAGAAAAUUGCGAAUUCGAUUAUAGUAUUUAAAAAAAAAAAAAAAUAAAUAAAUGAAAUAAAAUUUCUUAGCUGUUUCUUCACAUGCGCCGUAAAUAACGUUUGUAAUACGUUUAAUGAAAAUGUCACGAGUGUGUUAUCAUUACGCAUCACCGUUUCCUCUGCAAAUGGUCUCAAUGACAAUUGGUAAAACAAACUUCAAUUUUCUUCGUAUGUUGGUCAAUGUUUGGGUCGCUCGAACCCAUGGAUAACUCGAGCAUUUUGCUCAUCCCCUUGCGACCUCGAGCGAGCGGUGUUUCACUGUAUUUUACUUGUACUUGUAAGUGUUCAGGCUACAGUCACAUUAUGUAGGCAUUC